rnacentral:tRNA from 1 species
GCAUCGAUGUUUCAGUGGUACAAUGCUCGCCUGCCACGCGGUUGGUAGAAUGCUCACCUGCCACGCGGGUGGCCCGGGUUCGAUUCCUGGCCGAUGCA